ensembl:lncRNA
GGCUGUGACGGAUACUGGCAGUCUGCAUGCAGCCUAUAGUGAGGGACCCUAGCGACCCCACAGCACAGCCAGUGAAUUGGUAUUUCUUCUGAAAGGAGCAGAGGUCCUCUGCCAACACCAAGAGCCUGACAGCUGCUGAACGGAUGGCAGAGGGCCGUCUUUCUCUCUGCACAGACACACCAAGGCUGACAUAGAGGAGAGGACAAUUUGGGGUGGGGGGGGUCGAACUAGAGAUUGACAAUGCAACAGGUAUGGCUUUAGAUAUACAUUGAAGACAACAAAAUGCUCAAAAUAUACAAUUUAUUCCAAAUAUGUUAAUGCAACCAUCAGUAUUUUCCAGUAAUUACAAAAUCAGUCAUUUUUAAUAGUUGUUCCUUAUUAACAACAAAUCAUUAUAACACAAAUGUUGAUCAACCAUCAGAGCAAAGACAGAUUCAUUUGCAGCACAUCAGACAGUUUGCUUGAUAGACAAGCACUGGCUGCAACAAUCAGGAAAGAACAGUCGGAGAGGCAUUUUUGUAAACUUGGGUCCAUUGGUCACAUAAUAUAUUUCAGAUUUCAAACACCCCUGGGAAGACGUACAGUGAAACAGUAUUUGCCCCCUUUCUGAUUUUUCUCUACUGUUGCAUAUUUUUAUACUGACUGUUAGCAGGUCUUCAACCAAAACCUAAUAUUAGAUAAAGGGAACCUGAGUUUACAAAGAACAGUCAUUUUAUUUAUUUAAUUAACAAAUGGGACCCAUGUCAUCCCAAAAAUUAUACUUUUCAAUCAUCUGUCCAUAGAACAUUCUUCCAGAAGUCUUGAUGAUCGUCAUUUUGGCAAACUUGAGUAAACUUUUUGGACAUGGGUUCCAUUAUGGGGUGGCAGGUAGCCUAGUGGUUAGAGCGUUGGGCCAGUAACCAGCAGGUAGCCUAGUGGUUAGAGCGUUGGGCCAGUAACCAGCAGGUAGCCUAGUGGUUAGAGCAUUGGACCAGUAACCAGCAGGUAGCCUAGUGGUUAGAGCAUUGGGCCAGUAACCAGCAGGUAGCCUAGUGGUUAGAGCAUUGGGCCAGUAACCAGCAGGUAGCCUAGUGGUUAGAGCAUUGGACCAGUAACCAGCAGGUAGCCUAGUGGUUAGAGCGUUGGGCCAGUAACCAGCAGGUUGCUAGAUUGAACACCCGAGCUGACAAGGUAUAAAUCUGUCAUUCUGUCCCUGAACAAGGCAGUUAACCCACUGUUUCUUGGCCGUCGUUUAAAAUAAGAAUUUGUUCUUAACUGACUUGCCUGGUUAAACAAAAUUGUUUUUAUGCCUGGCAAAAACUAAACACUGCAUUCCACAGUAAGAACCUCAUACCAACGGUCAAGCAUGGUGGUGGCAGUGUGAUGGUUUGGGGUCAGCAUGGUGGUGGUAGUGUGAUGGUUUGGGGUCAGCAUGGUGGUGGUAGUGGGAUGGUUUGGGGUCAGCAUGGUGGUGGUAGUGUGAUGGUUUGGGGUCAGCAUGGUGGUGGUAGUGUGAUGGUUUGGGGUCAGCAUGGUGGUGGCAGUGUGAUGGUUUGGGGAUGCUUUGCUACCUCAGGACCUGGACGACUUGCCUUAAUAGUAGGGAACCAUGAAUUCUGCUCUGUAUCAGAGAAUUCUACAGGAGGAUGUCAGGCCGUCCGUCUGUGAGCUGAAACUGAAGUGCAGCUGGGUCAUGCAGCAAGAUAAUGAUUAAAAACACAAGUCUACAUAAAAAUGGCUAAAGAGCAACACAUUUGAAGAUUGGAAUGGCCUAGUCAAAGUUUAGACCUAAUCCCUAGUCCCAAUUGAGAUGUUGUGGCAGGACUUGAAAAGAGCAUUUCAUGCUUGAAAACCCACACAUUGCUGAAUUAAAGCAGUUCCGCAUGGAAGAGUGGGACAGAAUUCCUCCACAGCGACGUGAGAGACUGAUCAACAACUACAGGAAGUGUUUGGUUGGAGUCGUUGCAGCUAAAGGUGGACUGAUCAACAACUACAGGAAGUGUUUGGUUGGAGUCGUUGCAGCUAAAGGUGGACUGAUCAACAACUACAGGAAGUGUUUGGUUGGAGUCGUUGCAGCUAAAGGUGGACUGAUCAACAACUACAGGAAGUGUUUGGUUGGAGUCGUUGCAGCUAAAGGUGGACUGAUCAACAACUACAGGAAGUGUUUGGUUGGAGUCGUUGCAGCUGAAGGAGGCACAACCAGUUAUUGAGUAUAAGGGGACAAUCACUUUUUCACACAGGGGAAUUUGGUGUUGCAUAACUUUGUUUAUGAAAUAAAUUAAAUAAAGAAUGUAAUUGUUGUGUUAUUUGUUCACUCAGGUUUCCUUUAUCUAAUAUUAGGUUUUGGUUGAAGAUCUGAUAACAUUCAGUGUCAAAAAUAUGCAAAAGAAGAGAAAACUAAAAAGGGGGAAAAUACUUUAUCACGGGAACAACGGCCACUAAAACACCCUUCUACCAUAGUAAAACACCCUUCUACCAUAGUAAAACACCCUUCUACCAUAGUAAAACACCUUUCUACCAUAGUAAAACACCCUUCUACCAUAGUAAAACACCCUUCUACCAUAGUAAAACACCCUUCUGACAUAGUAAAAC